CAUAAACCAAGAGAAAAAUACACAUAACAUCUAUAUAUCUAUCUAGAGAUUUUUCGGUUCAUCUAGUUUUGUUUAAUUAUUUUGAGCUUCAACCUUUGAAGCAUGAUGCAAAAUCACCAGCAGCAGAAGCAGGGAUUCGGCGGCGGAAUCAUUGGGCCGCAGUAUUGUGCUCCAUAUAAUGUUGACCUAGCAAUUGUGAGGAAGGUGUUGACUUUGGCUGAUGGUUUUAGUGUUACUGAUAUUAAUGGACAAACCCUCUUCACCCUUAAGGGGUCCCUUUUGACCCUCCGGGACCACCGUGUCUUGCUCGACGCCGCCGGAACACCCGUUGUUACUCUUCGCCGGAAGCUUAUGACGGCACAUGAUCGGUGGCAAGUGUUCAGGGGUGAUAGCUCAGAUAUGAAAGAUUUGAUCUUCAGUUUAAAGAGAUCAUCUCUCUUCCAGCUGAAGACCAAAUUAGACGUGUUCUUAGCCCAUAAUACAGAAGAAAAAGUUUGUGAUUUUAAGGUUAAAGGAAGUUGGUUCGAGAGAUCUUGUGUUAUUUAUGCUGGUGAAUCUCUCAACAUUGUGGCACAGGUAAUUAAGCCUUCACUUCUAUAAUUAUAUUAUGUAGUUAAAUUUGAAUUAGAUUAAAUGGCUAAAUUUUAACGGGUUUAAUUUUUACUACUUGUUAAUGUAAUAUAAUAAAAUUUUAGUUUUAGUGAUUUUAAGUAUAUGAAAUUUCUUUUCCUACAAUCAAAUUAUAAUAUUUACAAUGCAAUAUCAUUUGGCUGCAGAUGCACAAGAAGCACACUGCUCAAAGCAUUAUGUUUGGGAAAGACAAUUUCAUGGUCACAGUGUAUCCCAACGUUGACUAUGCCUUCAUAGUUGCCCUAAUUGUGAUCCUUGACGAAAUCAACCAAGACAAGAACAGUGAUUCAUAAUGAUUCAACUUUGUUUAUUAUGUUUAUGUAGUUUUCUUUGUUUUGGUUCUUUCAAUUUCUUCUAGACGUUCACAUAUUACAAAAAGUAGAGUGAACAGAUUUUGUGGCCGGUCAUAUAUAUAUAUUUGUUUGUAAAUUUAUUUGAAUACUUUUUUUAAUUUUUUAUUACUUACGACUUACGAGGUAUAUAUAUUACAACCACCAAUAACUCCAUUUAAUAACA